UACGUAGGUGGCAAGCGUUGAUCCGGAUUUAUUGGGUUAAAGGGUGCGUAGGCGGUUCUAUAAGUCAGUGGUGAAAUCCGGCAGCCUCAACUGUCGAUGUGCCAUUGAUAACUGCAGAACGUUGAGUACAGGACGAGGUAGGCGGAAUUGACGGUGUAGCGGUGAAAUGCUUAGAUAUGUCAAGAACACCGAUAGCGAAGGCAGCUUCUAGGCUGUAAACUGACGCUGAUGCACGAAAGUGUGGGGAGUCAAAACAGGA
rnacentral:rRNA from 1 species